AUUGAACGCUGGCGGCAUGCCUUACACAUGCAAGUCGAACGGCAGCACGGGAGCAAUCCUGGUGGCGAGUGGCGAACGGGCGAGUAAUGCAUCGGAACGUACCUUUCAGUGGGGGAUAACGUAGCGAAAGUUACGCUAAUACCGCAUAUUCUGUGAGCAGGAAAGCAGGGGAUCGCAAGACCUUGCGCUGAUUGAGCGGCCGAUGUCAGAUUAGCUGGUUGGUGAGGUAAAGGCUCACCAAGGCGACGAUCUGUAGCGGGUCUGAGAGGAUGAUCCGCCACACUGGAACUGAGACACGGUCCAGACUCCUACGGGAGGCAGUAGUGGGGAAUUUUGGACAAUGGGGGCAACCCUGGUCCAGCCAUGCCGCGUGAGUGAAGAAGGCCUUCGGGUUGUAAAGCUCUUUCAGCCGGGAAGAAAUCGCAUUGGUUAAUACCUGAUGUGGAUGACGGUACCGGAAUAAGAAGCACCGGCUAACUACGUGCCAGCAGCCGCCGUAAUAC
rnacentral:rRNA from 1 species